AAAAUAAAAUAGGAGAAGAAGAUAAGACUUAUGACCCCGAGUGCCUCUUCAAUCUCCCAAAAGAAACCUCUGUUGGGAGCCGCAUAUAAUUCACAAUGCUAGAAGAUCACAAAUAAGAGAAUGGCAUCGCUCAAAGUUCGAAGAAGAACGUCACCAGCAAGUUGCAGAGAGAGUCCUACACAUUUCUCCAUGUAACUGGAAAAAUGCAAUUUGUCAGGUCGUGCUAACAUGGAAAACUCCUGAGCAAGUUUCUACGGUUUGCCACAGGAAAAAACAAAUGGAGCAAUUUCCAUCGUCAUAAAAGAAACGAACUUGUUCGGUUUUAAAAUCAGAAAGAUAACACAGCUACUGAAUUCCGAGACGGCCAAGAAAAUUUGUAAGAGGAUCAAUGAUAACAGGUUACAGCUACAGGGCAUAGCUACUAAUAAAAAUAAAAAUAAAAAUAAAAGAAGAGAAAAAUUGAAGAAGCAGUUGAACAGGCGGAGGGGCUGAACUUGGAAAAAGGAAAAAAGAGAGGGCUUUUUGGUCUUUUUAACUUGGUAAUUUAAGAGUUGUUAAUUUAGUUUGUUAGUAACUUACUAAUAUUAUUAUGCAAUUACCGACUUUUUUGUUCAUUUGUGAAGCACCAACUUUUAUUUGUGUAAUUUACUAUCGUUUCGGAUUUAUUAACUCUUAAAUGAAAAAUAUCGAACUAAAAUUAGUGUGACUUACAACUUCUGUCAUAUUAACUUACCAACUAGUAUUUUGGAUUGCAAGCUGUCGUUUGAGUUACUUAUUAAACUCUAAUUGUUUGGCCUAAUUCAUCAAUUUUAAUGAAGUUACCAACUUUUAUUUACUAUGGUUGGCAAUUCCUUAUUUACUAACCUUUUCAGCAAUUGCCAUUCUAAAUUAGUGUAACUCGUCAACUUUUCUCCCAUUAUAUUACCACCUAAUAUCGGGUCAACUCUCAUUGAGAUUUGACCCGCACCCACUUCACCCCAAACCCAAAAACAAAAAAAAAAAACAACAAAGGACUCUCAUUGAGUUAUUGACGGACAUCUGUUUACGUUUCUAAUCUGCUAACUUUUCUUACCGACAAAUUUUUAGUUGAAUUUCUUAGCCACGCCUUAAUUUACCGACUCUUUUCCAAAAAUUACCAACUUACUUUUUAGCCAAAAAAGAAAAAAAUUGUUCUUAAGUUUUACAAAGCGAUUUAUCAACUUUUUUUUCGAUUAAGUUAUUAACUAGUUUGAGGCUCUUAUUAAUUUAACCACUUUUUUAUUGGGUUACUUAAUUGGCCAAAAGUUUGCAGGAAUAAAAGUAUAUCAUAAAAUAGUUGGUAAAUCUAAAGCUUUGAUAACAAGGACAAAUAGAAGUUGGAAAAAGAUAAGAAAAUUAUUAGAGAAGAGAAGUUGGUAAUUUAAGGCUGAACUUGGAAAAAGGCAAAAAGGGAAGGCUUUUUAGUCUUUUUACCCGACGGACCGGUUUCGGGUCGGUCGGGUUUUUUGGGGGAAUUGCAAAUAAAGAGAAAACUCUCGAAGCCA